AGUACGUGAAACUGUGUGGUGGUAAACGGAGGCGUUCUUGAAGUUUCUGUGGGGAACUCAACCUUGGUGGCUGGCGGCCCGGCUGUACGUGAUCAGCAAUGACUCUGCAGACGGUUUGGCCGGCUUCUCGGGCGCAUUUUCCCCACAGUUUACGGCAGGAACUGUUUGGAGCAGACCAAAGGCCUCGGGUGAAGUUGUCGGUUCUGCUGGCAGCCCUGGGUGUCCUGGCUUCGCACCAGACAGGUAUCAGAGAGGACUCGUAUAUCGAGCAAUGCCCUGUUGCGGUUCUCAUAUCUCUGCCGAGUAGGUCAGAGGCGCCUCCGACCCGUCUUGAAACACGGACA
rnacentral:rRNA from 1 species